rnacentral:rRNA from 1 species
GACGAACGCUGGCGGCGUGCUUGACACAUGCAAGUCGAACGGAAAGGCCCUGCUUGCAGGGUACUCGAGUGGCGAACGGGUGGGUAACACGUGGGUGAUCUGCCCUGCACUUCGGGAUAAGCCUGGGAAACUGGGUCUAAUACCGGAUAGGAGCCAUUUUUAGUGUGAUGGUUGGAAAGUUUUUUCGGUGUAGGAUGAGCUCGCGGCCUAUCAGCUUGUUGGUGGGGUAAUGGCCUACCAAGGCGGCGACGGGUAGCCGGCCUGAGAGGGUGGACGGCCACAUUGGGACUGGGGUACCGCCCCGGCUCCUACGGGAAGGAACAGGGGGGAAAAUUGCAAAAUGGGCGGAAGCCUGAUGCAGCGACGCCGCGUGGGGGAUGGCGGCCUUCGGGUUGGAAACUCCUUUCGCUAGGGACGAAGCUUUGUGUGACGGUACCUAGAUAAGAAGCACCGGCUAACUACGUG